GACGAACGCUGGCGGCGUGCUUAACACAUGCAAGUCGAACGGAAAGGCCCUGGUUUUGUGGGGUGCUCGAGUGGCGAACGGGUGAGUAACACGUGAGUAACCUGCCCUUGACUUUGGGAUAACUUAAGGAAACUGGGGCUAAUACCGGAUAGGAGCUCCUGCUGCAAGGUGGGGGUUGGAAAGUUUCGGUGGUUGGGGAUGGACUCGCGGCGUAUCGGCUUGUUGGUGUGGUAGUGGCUUACCAAGGCUUUGCAGGGUAGCCUGGCUGGGAGGGUGACCGGCCACAUUGGGACGGGGAUACGGCCCAGACUCCUACGGGAGGGAGCAGUGGAGAAGAUUGUACAAUGGGAGGAAGCCUGAUGCAGCAACGCCGCGUGGGGGAUAACGGCCUUCGGGUUGUAAACCGCUUUCGCCUGUGACGAAGCGUGAGUGACGGUAAUGGGUAAAGAAGCACCGGCUAACUACGUG
rnacentral:rRNA from 1 species